rnacentral:rRNA from 1 species
GGGCCAGUAGGUUGGUCGUGCCACCGGUACGUACUGGUCUCACUGAUUCCUCCUUCCUGAAGAACCGUAAUGCCAUUAAUUUGGUGUUGCGGGGAAACAGGACUGUUACUUUGAAAAAAUUAGAGCGUUUAAAGCAAGCUAACGCUUGAAUACAUUAGCAUGGAAUAAUGAAAUAGGACGAUCGAUCCUAUUUUGUUGGUUUCUAGGAUUGACGUA